rfam:Loxodonta africana unplaced genomic scaffold scaffold_143, whole genome shotgun sequence.
GCAGAAAUAGCUCAGUUGGGAGAGUAAUAGACUGAAGAUCUGAAGAUCCCUGGCUGGAUUCCAGGUUUCCACA